CAGCAGCCGCGGUAAUACGUAGGUCCCAAGCGUUGUCCGGAUUUAUUGGGCGUAAAGCGAGCGCAGGCGGUUUGAUAAGUCUGAUGUGAAAGCCCACGGCUCAACCGUGGAGGGUCAUUGGAAACUGGGAGACUUGAGUGCAGAAGAGGAGAGCGGAAUUCCAUGUGUAGCGGUGAAAUGCGUAGAUAUAUGGAGGAACACCAGUGGCGAAGGCGGCUCUCUGGUCUGUAACUGACGCUGAGGCUCGAAAGCGUGGGGAGCAAACAGGAUUAGAUACCCGAGUAGUCCCUGUCUCUUAUAC
rnacentral:rRNA from 1 species